rnacentral:misc_RNA from 1 species
GAUGAAGAACGUAGCGAAAUGCGAUACUUGGUGUGAAUUGCAGAGUCCCGUGAACCAUCGAGUCUUUGAACGCAAGUUGCGCCCGAAGCCAUUAGGCCGAGGGCACGCCUGCCUGGGCGUCACACGUCGUUGCCCCCCCAUCUACUCCUUCGGGAUUGCGGGGGGCGGAUGAUGGCCUCUCGUGCGCCUCGUCGCGCGGUUGGCCUAAAUGCCAAGUCCUCGGCGACGCACGCCACGACAAUCGGUGGUUGCGAAACCUCGGUUGCCUGUCGUGUGCGGUCGUCGCGCAUCGAGGGCUCGAAAAAAUUGCCGGGCUUCGGCUCGACUUUCAACGCGACCCCAGGUCAGGCGGGGUUACCCGCUGAAUUUAAGCAUAUCAAUAAGCGGAGGA